AUUGAACGCUGGCGGCAUGCCUUACACAUGCAAGUCGAACGGUAACGGGCCUUCGGGUGCCGACGAGUGGCGAACGGGUGAGUAAUACAUCGGAACGUGCCCGAUCGUGGGGGAUAACGAGGCGAAAGCUUUGCUAAUACCGCAUACGAUCUACGGAUGAAAGCAGGGGACCGCAAGGCCUGGCGCGGGCGGAGCGGCCGAUGGCAGAUUAGGUAGUUGGUGGGAUAAAAGCUUACCAAGCCGACGAUCUGUAGCUGGUCUGAGAGGAUGAUCAGCCACACUGGGACUGAGACACGGCCCAGACUCCUACGGGAGGCAGCAGUGGGGAAUUUUGGACAAUGGGCGCAAGCCUGAUCCAGCCAUGCCGCGUGCAGGAUGAAGGCCUUCGGGUUGUAAACUGCUUUUGUACGGAACGAAAAGCCUUCUUUUAAUACAGGAGGGUCAUGACGGUACCGUAAGAAUAAGCACCGGCUAACUACGUG
rnacentral:rRNA from 1 species